UACGAAGGGGGCUAGCGUUGUUCGGAAUUACUGGGCGUAAAGCGUGCGCAGGCGGCUUCUCAAGUCAGGGGUGAAAGCCCAGAGCUCAACUCUGGAAUUGCCUUUGAGACUGAGUGGCUUGAGUACGAGAGAGGUGAGUGGAAUUCCCAGUGUAGAGGUGAAAUUCGUAGAUAUUGGGAAGAACACCGGUGGCGAAGGCGGCUCACUGGCUCGUUACUGACGCUCAGUGCACGACAGCGUGGGGAUCAAACAGG
rnacentral:rRNA from 1 species